CAAGGGGUAGUUUAUUAAAAAUAUUAAUUUUGGAGAUUAAUGAAAAGGAGAUAACCUUUCCCUUGA
rnacentral:tRNA from 1 species